UACGGGGGGGGCAAGCGUUGUUCGGAAUUACUGGGCGUAAAGAGCUCGUAGGCGGUCUGUUGCGUCCGCUGUGAAAACUCGGGGCUUAACCCCGAGCCUGCAGUGGAUACGGGCAGACUAGAGGUAGGUAGGGGAGAAUGGAAUUCCCGGUGUAGCGGUGAAAUGCGUAGAUAUCGGGAGGAAUACCCGUGGCGCAAGCGGCGACCUGGCGAAGACCUGACGCUGAGACACGACGGCGUGGGGAGCAAACCGG
rnacentral:rRNA from 1 species